CUUGCUUGUGGAUUUUUAUUCACAAUAAUCAUCGUAGAUUUUUUUACGGUAAGGUACAACUUUUAAAAUUAAGAAGGACAAAGCAAUGACUUGAGUAAAUUACGUGUAUUCAGUAUUAUCCAAUUCCAUUUUCGAAGUGUAAAUAAUUGAAAACGAAAGUACUUUAAAAAGUUUAUCAACUAGACCAACCGCAUCAACUCAUAACUGACACCUUGCUUGCGUAGUACUCACCACAACUGUUUUGCCACCUACCAUAUAUUUAGUAAACAAGCCAAAUUAAAGAACCAUACUUGUAGCGAAAGAUGUAAUAAGUCAAUAUUGAUAAACAGUUGACAGUUUAAAAAGAAAAAUAACUUAUACACAAUCAUCCAGAAAUGAGAUUUGAAGUUCAUAUUGUUCCUUUAAACAAUCUUUUAUAAAAUUUGUAUUAUCAAUUUUUUUUUGUUAACAAAUUUGACUCAAAUUCUCAUAUUUGAUUUAUAACAUACGUAUAUCUAAAUUAUAAAAAGUCUAAAAAAUACAGUUUACACUGCAUGGGAUUGAUAAUAUGUAUCAACAUUUUGUGUAGAUUUUAGUCAAAACGACAUCUAAUUGACCAUUCAGGUGGUCUCCAAAGACUGUCGACGGUCAAAUAACCCGACGUAUACAUAAAUAUAGAUAUAAAUAGAAAGUAAACUCGUGUUAUUGGGUUUUCUAGGUCUGUUUGGUUUCAUAUUAUAGGUUUAACAUACAUAUUUCAUUUGGUGUAGCAUUCUCCUGUUUUUAUUGGAUAUCACGAUGAAUAAAAUUUCAUGUCUUUGAGGCCUUGUUUCUAUUUUUAUUGGCAAUAUGUUUCUGUAUUUAUUGACGCUAUGUUUCUAUUUAUACGAAUAUUGACGGUCAAUAUUAAAAUCUGUCAAGUUAAUCUUAUUCAUUGAUAUUUUCAAAAGUAUGUUUAAAAGUAUAUUGAAUUUCCCAAUACAUUAUUUACGUAUUUCAUAUAUAAAUAAAGGACGUUCAUCCAGUCAAUACGUUAUAUAUGGACAUUGUUCUCGGUCAAUAUAAUCAAAACAGGUUCAUAGAUAACGUAUCGACCUCGUCGAAAGUCCACAAUUGAUAAAUACUAAUCAUCGUUUUUACCUGUAUGAGAAUAUGUUUUUGUAUCCUUUUAAUUACUGAACACGACUUACCAAUGCGUAAACCUUCUCUAGCUAAGGGGUCAAAUUGAAGGUCAUAUAGAUAUGGAUUCAAUGAGGUCGAAUUAUACACUUACAAGCGAUUAAUUCACCAGCAUGUUUCUUGUCUUCGUUUGACACAACUGUCUCAACCUGGCUGCUAAAAGCGAAUUACUAUUUCACUAUUUCUCUUUCAUUAAUGAUUCAACCAAAAAACAUCAUAUUUUAUGUUUUGUUUAUAUCUCGUAGCUAAUGCCCCUUAAGCUGUUUAUGAUGACUGUAUGCUUCUUUUUUUUUUAUAGAUUUAAUCAUAAUAUGGCCACGCCUGACAUCCAGUUUUGUAGCUUAUGUAAAGAAGACGACAUCAACAAUGAAGCAAUCACAUGGUGCACGGAAUGCGAUACGUUUCUGUGCUUGGACUGUGACAAACACCAUUCAAGAAAUAAAUCAUCAAAACAGCACAAAACCCUCCCAUCAAACGAC
rnacentral:lncRNA from 1 species